GACUCGGCUGGACGGUCUGCCUAACGGUUUGUACUGUCUGGCUGGGCCUUACCUCUUAGUGAGCCGGCGUGCCCUUCACUGUGGUGCGUCGGGGAACUAGGACUUUUACCUUGAGAAAAUUAGAGUGUUCAAAGCAGGCCUAUGCCCGAAUACAUUAGCAUGGAAUAAUAAAAUAGGACG
rnacentral:rRNA from 1 species